GACGAACGCUGGCGGCGUGCCUAAUACAUGCAAGUAGAACGCUGAAGGAGGAGCUUGCUUCUCCGGAUGAGUUGCGAGCGGGUGAGUAACGCGUAGGUAACCUGCCUGGUAGCGGGGGAUAACUAUUGGAAACGAUAGCUAAUACCGCAUAAGAGUAGAUGUUGCAUGACAUUUGCUUAAAAGGUGCAAUUGCAUCACUACCAGAUGGACCUGCGUUGUAUUAGCUAGUUGGUGGGGUAACGGCUCACCAAGGCGACGAUACAUAGCCGACCUGAGAGGGUGAUCGGCCACACUGGGACUGAGACACGGCCCAGACUCCUACGGGAGGCAGCAGUAGGGAAUCUUCGGCAAUGGACGGAAGUCUGACCGAGCAACGCCGCGUGAGUGAAGAAGGUUUUCGGAUCGUAAAGCUCUGUUGUAAGAGAAGAACGAGUGUGAGAGUGGAAAGUUCACA
rnacentral:rRNA from 1 species